rnacentral:misc_RNA from 1 species
AACGCACCUUGCGCUCCUUGGUAUUCCGAGGAGCAUGCCUGUUUGAGUGUCAUUAAAUUCUCAACCUCACCAGUUUUGUAACGAGACUGCGUAAGGCUUGGAUGUGGGGGUUUGUGCAGGGCUGCCUCAGUGCGGUCUGCUCCCCUGAAAUGCAUUAGCGAGUUCAAACUGAGCUCUGUCUAUUGGUGUGAUAAUUAUCUACGCUGUGGACUUUGCUUAGACUUGCUUCUAAUCGUCCUCACGGACAAUACCUUGACAAUUUGACCUCAAAUCAGGUAGGACUACCCGCUGAACUUAA